ACCACAUUCAAACGCGCGUUUUGGCCAGCCAUGUUAACUACUGCAAAUCAAGGAGAUGGGGAUUACAACAACUCUUUAAAAGACUUCUCCAGAUUCAGAGCAGACAACAAUAAGAUGAUUGUGUUAACAGAUCGAAACAGAGAGAAUUGAGAGAGGAAGAGUAAGAUUGCAGAUGACAUACAUACCUGGGCCUCUCGAGGAGACUUUUGCAAGUAGAUCACUGAGAUUGAUUGGCCUUUGAGAGAAAUUGGUGAUUUGUUUUUUUUUUUUCUUUCUUCUUUUUAAAGAAGAGAGCGAUCGUAUUCGACCUCGUGGCUGAUUGUUCAUGGAGGAAAGAAAAAGGCCUAUUGUAAAACUAAUCGUAAACAUGAGGGGCCUUUUUGCUAAAUAAAUAUACAGACCAUCGCGGUGGGACCUGCUUUCGUGUCUAGGGUUGUUAUUGUCACUAGGGCUGGUCCUAUUUGGGUUAUUUUCUAUGAAAAUGUUAAUUAUUUUACUA